rnacentral:rRNA from 1 species
CCUGUGAAACCCAAAAGAUCGAAUGGGGAGAUUCAUCGUCAGCGAUCCUGGUGUUUGUACGGUUCGCGAUGUCGGGGACCUCGGUCCUGCGGCACGCGUCCGUAUGUUCGUCAUACCGGGUGUCGUCGGCGUGCACUUCUCCCCUAGUAGGACGUCGCGACCCGUUGGGUGUCGGUCUACGGCCCGAGCGGGAGCCUGGCCGGCGUGCGCUUCACGGCGUUACGCUGGUCAGACCCUCGGAUUUGCCUGACCGGCUGCCCGGCGGUACUCGCACGGUAUCGAGCCGCAAAUAUUAGAACUGCGUCCGGCCCGGCGCAAGCGAGACCAUUGUUAACCCGGACGUACGGAUCCAAUGCCGUCGCCGGGCAUGGUCGGCUGCUGGCUGUCGGUGCCCUGGGACAGGCUCAAUUAUUAUGAUACCGGUCGGCGACGCUACUGCUUUGGGUACUCUCAGGACCCGUCUUGAAACACGGACCAAGGAGUCUAACAUGUGCGCGAGUCAUUGGGAACUCAUAAGCCUAAAAGCGCAAUGAAAGUGAAGGUCGGCCUCGCGCCGACCGAGGGAGGAUUGGCCGCGUCACGAUGCGGUCACGCACUCCCGGGGCGUCUCGUUCUCAUUGCGAGAAGAGGCGCACCCA